rnacentral:rRNA from 1 species
CCUACGGGAGGCAGCAGUGGGGAAUAUUGCACAAUGGGGGAAACCCUGAUGCAGCGACGCCGCGUGAGCGAAGAAGUAUUUCUGGAUUGAAAGCUUUAUCAGCAGGGAAGAAAAUGACGGUACCUGAGUUAGAAGCUCCGGCUAAAUACGUGCCAGCAGCCGCGGUAAUACGUAUGGAGCAAGCGUUAUCCGGAUUUACUGGGUGUAAAGGGAGCGCAGGCGGCCUUGCAAGUCUGAUGUGAAAUACCGGGGCUCAACCCCGGAGCUGCAUUGGAAACUGUGAGGCUGGAGUGUCGGAGAGGCAGGCGGAAUUCCUGGUGUAGCGGUGAAAUGCGUAGAUAUCAGGAGGAACACCAGUGGCGAAGGCGACCUGCUGGACGAUGACUGACGCUGAGGCUCGAAAGCGUGGGGAGCAAACAGGAUUAGAUACCCCUGUAGUC